GCAAUUUAUCAUGGAGCCGACAACAGUCCACUGGUCUGUUUUGGGAUCAUAACGUUCUACAGAUUCAAACUGUCGGCAUGAGUCUUGGCUUGCAGGAGUGUCAUGUCCUCCCAUGGCAUAUAAAAAGUUACCAAGUACAGUGACACCAACACCUGAAAUUAUUUCAAGGAAAGAUGAGAAACCAAGAAUGAUCAACUUUACUGUUAAUACUUGAUAACUGUAAAUGAAAAACUGAAAACUGAAAAAAAAGAAACAGCAGGAAGAUUAAGGGUCAUAGCAUUCCACUGAAUUCAAGCAUGAUGAUCCAUCUCUUCCUCCAACGGCAUACAGUUUGCCAUCUAAAACAG